UCCAGUUAUGUGGCACAAGCCGGAAACCUUCACAAUCAACUUCACCAUCUCCAACCUUCCAUAUUCAGUAGACAUGAUCAGUGGCUCAGCCAUAUUCAACUCCACUGAGAAUGUCCUACAACGCCUGCUGGGACCCUUGUUCCAAAAUGACUCCUUCAACUCAAGUUGCAGACUGACCUCCCUCAGGCCUGAGAAGAAUGGGAUGUUCACAGGUGUGGUUACCACCUGCACCUACCAAAAUGACCCUGCACAUCCUGGAAUGGACAUACAGGGUCUAUACUCAGAACUGAGUCAUCUGAGCCAUGGAGUCACCCAGCUGGGAAACUACACACUGG
rnacentral:lncRNA from 1 species